AUCAUAAGGCUGAGUUGUGAUGGCGAGGGAAAUAUAGUACCGAAGUUCCUGAUUCUACACUGCCAAGAAAAGCUUCUAGCGAGGAAAUAGGUGCCUGUACCGCAAACCGACACAGGUAGGCGAGGAGAGAAUCCUAAGGUGAGCGAGAGAACUAUGGUUAAGGAACUCGGCAAAAUGACCCCGUAACUUCGGGAGAAGGGGUGCUCUUUUGGGUGCAAGCCCGGGAGAGCCGCAGUGAAAAGGCCCAAGCGACUGUUUAGCAAAAACACAGGUCUCUGCGAAGCCGCAAGGCGAAGUAUAGGGGCUGACGCCUGCCCGGUGCUGGAAGGUUAAGAGGAGGGGUUAUCCCUUACGGGAGAAGCUCUGAAUUGAAGCCCCAGUAAACGGCGGCCGUAACAAUAACGGUCCUAAGGUAGCGAAACUCCUUGUCGGGUAAGUUCCGACCCGCACGAAAGGCGUAACGAUUUGGGCACUGUCUCAACCAUAGACUCGGUGAAAUUAUAGUACCUGUGAAGAUGCAGGUUACCCGCGACAGGACGGAAAGACCCCGUGGAGCUUUACUGCAGCUUGAUAUUGAAUUUUGGUACAGCUUGUACAGGAUAGGUAGGAGCCUGAGAAGCCGGAGCGCCAGCUUCGGUGGAGGCGUCGGUGGGAUACUACCCUGGCUGUAUUGAAAUUCUAACCUAGAGCCGUUAUCCGGCUCGGAGACAGUGUCAGGUGGGCAGUUUGACUGGGGCGGUCGCCUCCUAAAGAGUAACGGAGGCGCCCAAAGGUUCCCUCAGAAUGGUUGGAAAUCAUUCGAAGAGUGUAAAGGCAUAAGGGAGCUUGACUGCGAGACCUACAAGUCGAGCAGGGACGAAAGUCGGGCUUAGUGAUCCGGUGGUUCCGCAUGGAAGGGCCAUCGCUCAACGGAUAAAAGCUACCCCGGGGAUAACAGGCUUAUCUCCCCCAAGAGUCCACAUCGACGGGGAGGUUUGGCACCUCGAUGUCGGCUCAUCGCAUCCUGGGGCUGUAGUCGGUCCCAAGGGUUGGGCUGUUCGCCCAUUAAAGCGGUACGCGAGCUGGGUUCAGAACGUCGUGAGACAGUUCGGUCCCUAUCCGUCGUGGGCGCAGGAAAUUUGAGAGGAGCUGUCCUUAGUACGAGAGGACCGGGAUGGACACACCGCUGGUGUACCAGUUGUUCUGCCAAGAGCAUGGCUGGGUAGCUAUGUGUGGGAGGGAUAAAUGCUGAAAGCAUCUAAGCAUGAAGCCCCCCUCAAGAUGAGAUUUCCCAUAGCGUUAAGCUAGUAAGACCCCUGAGAGAUGAUCAGGUUGAUAGGUCAGAGGUGGAAGCGUGGUGACACGUGGAGCUGACUGAUACUAAUCGGUCGAGGACUUAACGAA
rnacentral:rRNA from 1 species